rnacentral:rRNA from 1 species
AGCGAACGCUGGCGGCAGGCUUAACACAUGCAAGUCGAGCGGGCAUAGCAAUAUGUCAGCGGCAGACGGGUGAGUAACGCGUGGGAACGUACCUUUUGGUUCGGAACAACACAGGGAAACUUGUGCUAAUACCGGAUAAGCCCUUACGGGGAAAGAUUUAUCGCCGAAAGAUCGGCCCGCGUCUGAUUAGCUAGUUGGUGAGGUAAUGGCUCACCAAGGCGACGAUCAGUAGCUGGUCUGAGAGGAUGAUCAGCCACAUUGGGACUGAGACACGGCCCAAACUCCUACGGGAGGCAGCAGUGGGGAAUAUUGGACAAUGGGCGCAAGCAUGAUCCAGCCAUGCCGCGUGAGUGAUGAAGGCCCUAGGGUUGUAAAGCUCUUUUGUGCGGGAAGAUAAUGACGGUACCGAAAGAAUAAGCCCCGGCUAACUUCGUG